GACAGAGGUGCCGAGCGUUAGGCGGAAUCACUGGGCUUAAAGCGUGUGUAGGCGGGGCGUAGGUGCUUUGUGAAAUCCCACGGCUCACCCGUGGAACUGCUUGGCAUACUGGCGCUCUUGAGCCACUUAGGGGCAACUGGAACAAACGGUGGAGCGGUGAAAUGCGUAGAUAUCGUUUGGAACGCCAAAGGUGAAAACAGACAGCUGGGAGUGUGCUGACGUGAG
rnacentral:rRNA from 1 species